rnacentral:rRNA from 1 species
UAUCGGAGAGUUUGAUCCUGGCUCAGGACGAACGCUGGCGGCGUGCCUAAUACAUGCAAGUCGAGCGGACUGAUGGGAGCUUGCUCCCUGAAGUCAGCGGCGGACGGGUGAGUAACACGUGGGUAACCUGCCUGUAAGACUGGGAUAACUCCGGGAAACCGGGGCUAAUACCGGAUAGUUCUUUUCCUCGCAUGAGGAAAAGUGGAAAGGCGGCUUCGGCUGCCACUUACAGAUGGACCCGCGGCGCAUUAGCUA